GCCCGUCUCCACACCACAGACACCCUUUCUAUUGUGCUUCUGUCUUCUUGCGGAAUAAGUGUAAAUGUCUUCUUGCGGAAUAAGUAUUGCUCCUCUGUACCAAGAAGUUGGUGAAACCAGCUGCAGAGUUAUUCACAGAGAUGAUGCUCAGAAACAGACUAGAAUGAGCAUCACCCUGGGUAUCACUUUGGGAUGCAAUGUGAAAGACCACAAUCACCCUCUCUUCUGGAUCCCCCGCAUCUGAUUAUGGGGAGAGAUGCAGGUUCUGAAAGAAGAAAAUCAGUUGUGUUGGAAAAGAAACGGGAGGAAAUGAAUGCUGAGUCAUCACUUAGUCAGAGGAAGGACUCACAAAUGGUCCUGGCUGUGGGCAGUGAUGUUGGUCAUCACUGGAGGAUGAGGAGGGGUGUGGGUUUUUAUUCUUGGGGGACCAGGCCAUCUCUCAUGUAUAGACUAGCCCUGCAUGAAAAGGACACUUCUGGCUUUGGUCUUCUUAUGCUGUGUUUUUCCCAAUCCAGUGAGAAAUUGCCCUCAGAAUCAGGAGUCCCAGUGACCCUAGGGAGGGGUGGGUAGAUGUUUACCUUUUAUCCCUCUUUGCACUUCCUGCCCAGUUAUUUUGGGCUGCUUUCUAAUUGGCAACGGGCUGUCUGAAAUCCUACCCACACCUGGCACAGGAGCUGGGGUGAUGGAACACGUAUGCCCCUGCACAGCACCCACUGGUAACAUAGGGGAGAACUUACGGGGAAACAAUGGAAGAGCUCAGAGAUAUUGUCUUUACUUGUUAAAGCCAAAAGAAGGUGAUUCCAUCUCCCUGGGACCUGCUUUUGCUAACACUCAACUCUCAAGGACUCAGACAUUGACUACAAAAUGCCAAACCAUUUUAAAGAGCUAAAAGUUUAUGUAACCAUCUGGAAAUUCAUCACCCUCCAAUUAAAAAAAAAAUGUUUAUUCUUGAGACAGAGAGUGCAGGGGAGGGGCGGGGGGGGGACAGAGGAUCCGAGGCGGGCUCCGUGCUGACAGCAGAGAGCCCCAUGUGGGGCUGGAACUCAUGAACUGUGAGAUCAUGACCUGAGCCAAAGUUGGACACCCCACCAACGGAGCCACCCAGGCUCCCCACCUCUCAAAAUUUUAAAUCAGUGAUACAACAUGCAGCCUACACACAACUAUAAUGUAUUUGGCUGUCGUGGACGUUGUCGUUGCUCUAAUCAAAUCCCUUCCGUGGACUGUGUUACAGGUUUGUGCGCCAACCCCAAGCUCUUGUGUGUUUCAUUCCUAAUGGGCUGAGUUCCCAGCAUUCUUCAAAGAACUGAACCAACCCCUGGAGCCACUCUGCCCAGACUUGGGGACAGCCUGAAGUGCCUGUGGCCAAAGACUACCGAGGCAGCAGUCUGAAAGCCCUUUGCCUUGAGGUUGGACAAACUCAAGUGUGAUCAGUCCAGAUCAGGCCAAGGCCAAGACUGUAUACUUGGCUCCUUCCCCUUUCUGCUUUCCACUCCCCCCGCCCCACUAUCUUACUGGUCUCCCCAGAGAUGACUUCCUUUAUAAGAUGCUUACUUGUGUAUUACCAUCUUAGGAAAACACUUUUGGAGAACCCAAUCCCAUGCUAAGAUACCUGUCCCAUGCUAGGCACAGUGGGAAGAGAAGAAGACCCCUUUCUUCAGGGCAACUCUCCUUGGAGGGACGACCCAUACACAAAGCAAUUAAGAAAAAUAUUUCUUAGACAGAAACAAGUGCUGAAAAUAUUGUGGCCCACUUAUGCCUCAUCUAUAUUACUGAAUGCCUGUGAUGGUGCAUGCACAGAGCAAUGUUAAAAUGUCAUGGAAAGGACAAGGGACUAGGGAGAGGGCAGAUAAGGAAAACCACUUCCUGAAGGGGUGGCUUUGGAAGCAUGGGUAGAACUUGCAGUGUUAGGUGUAAUGUUGGUAAUAAUAUCGAACACGGACCGCGUUCAUUUCUCUUUUGAUCUAGAACUCUGCUCAGAAGCAGGUUCAGGAGCUCAGGGAGAGAAACUUCCCCAGGGACCUGCCUGCCCUUUUCACUGCUGCCUUAUUCAGGAUGGGAGCUGCCUCCCAGAGUUCUGCUUCUUGUGAAUUGUGUCCAGACCAGAGUCCACCCACUUCAAUGAUUCACUUCUCCCCCCAGAGUGUUGGGAUUUAAAUUCUCUUUGUGAGAUAAAGACAUGGUAUGAGACCUGUUGCCCAGGGAAGUGUGAAAAAUGCGUCCAGUGUUCAGUUUAUGAAGACAUAACCCACCUCACUUUCAAUUCCAUGAAUCUUGAUUGACUUCCUUGUUCAUUUAGCAAUCUUUAUUGAGCACCUACUAUGGGCCAGUCAGUGAACUGGUGGUAUGAUCCCCUCCCUAAGGACAAAAAAAAAAACACCUCAAGGCAACCUGGCUAUACGCGUGCGUGACAACAUCCCUCACGACCUUGUAACAUGAGACCACUUAAUCAGACUACAUGUUUUGUAUGUUACCAGGUAAGGGAAACAAAAAAAUAAAAAAUGUAUAAAAAGCUAUGCCA
rnacentral:lncRNA from 1 species